rnacentral:rRNA from 1 species
GCCAGACUCCUACGGGAGGCAGCAGUGGGGGAUAUUGCACAAUGGGGGGAACCCUGAUGCAGCGACGCCGCGUGGGUGAAGGAGUAUUUCGGUAUGUAAAGCCCUAUCGGCAGGGAAGAAGCAAGACGGUACCUGACUAAGAAGCCCCGGCUAACUACGUGCCAGCAGCCGCGGUAAUACGUAGGGGGCGAGCGUUAUCCGGAUUCACUGGGUGUAAAGGGAGCGUAGACGGCCAUGCAAGCCAGGGGUGAAAGCCCGGGGCCCAACCCCGGGACUGCCCUUGGAACUGUGCGGCUAGAGUGCGGGAGGGGCAGGCGGAAUUCCUGGUGUAGCGGUGAAAUGCGUAGAUAUCAGGAGGAACACCGGUGGCGAAGGCGGCCUGCUGGACUGCAACUGACGUUGAGGCCCGAAAGCGUGGGGAGCAAACAGGAUUAGAUACCCCAGUAUUA